CAAGAGGAUGCCGAAAAUCUUAUAGAGUAGGCA
ncrna:unclassified sequences DTF805b RNA